AGCUCCAAUAGCGUAUAUUAAAGUUGUUGCGGUUAAAAAGCUCGUAGUUGGAUCUCAGUUCAUGCUAAGUGGUCCACUUGCCGGUGGUUACUACUUAGCUGAACAUUUUACAGACCUGUCUUGCGAUGCUCUUCACCGGGUGUCGUGAGCGAUCUGUACGUUUACUUUGAACAAAUUAGAGUGCUUAAAGCAGGCUUUACGCCCGCAUAAUCUUGCAUGGAAUAAUGGAAUAGGACCUCGGUUCUAUUUUGUUGGUCUUCGGAAUCUGAGGUAAUGAUUAAGAGGGACAGACGGGGGCAUUCGUAUUGCGGCGCUAGAGGUGAAAUUCUUGGACCGUCGCAAGACGAACUACAGCGAAAGCAUUUGCCAAGAAUGUUUUCA
rnacentral:rRNA from 1 species